UACGUAGGGUGCAAGCGUUAUCCGGAAUUAUUGGGCGUAAAGAGCUCGUAGGCGGUUUGUCGCGUCUGCUGUGAAAACCCGAGGCUCAACCUCGGGCCUGCAGUGGGUACGGGCAGACUAGAGUGCGGUAGGGGAGAUUGGAAUUCCUGGUGUAGCGGUGGAAUGCGCAGAUAUCAGGAGGAACACCGAUGGUGAAGGCAGAUCUCUGGGCCGUAACUGACGCUGAGGAGCGAAAGCGUGGGGAGCGAACAGG
rnacentral:rRNA from 1 species